CUGACCUUGAAUCAAGGCCGGCAGCUUCCUGACACUGUUGGUUUCAAACAGGAGUCUAAAGAGAUGUCUUUAUGAUCUCUUGGCCAUUUUAGAACUUGGGCAGUGAAGUGGUCAAUUCAUUAGAAACAAACAGCU
ensembl:snoRNA small nucleolar RNA SNORA2/SNORA34 family